rnacentral:rRNA from 1 species
AGUGAACGCUGGCGGCGUGCCUAAUACAUGCAAGUCGAACGGAGAUUAAGUAGCUUGCUAUUUAAUCUUAGUGGCGCACGGGUGAGUAAUAUAUAGCUAACUUGCCCAUUACUAAGGGACAACAGUUGGAAACGACUGCUAAUACCUUAUACUCCGUAUCUAUAUAAGUAGAUACGGGAAAGUUUUUCGGUAAUGGAUAGGGCUAUAUCGUAUCAGCUAGUUGGUAAGGUAAUGGCUUACCAAGGCUAUGACGCGUAACUGGUCUGAGAGGAUGAUCAGUCACACUGGAACUGAGACACGGUCCAGACUCCUACGGGAGGCAGCAGUAGGGAAUAUUGCUCAAUGGGGGAAACCCUGAAGCAGCAACGCCGCGGGGAGGAUGACACUUUUCGGAGCGUAAACUCCUUUUCUUGGGAAAGAAUUAUGACGGUACCCAAGGAAUAAGCACCGGCUAACUCCG